rnacentral:rRNA from 1 species
UACCAAGGCGACGAUCCGUAGCGGGUCUGAGAGGAUGAUCCGCCACACUGGGACUGAGACACGGCCCAGACUCCUACGGGAGGCAGCAGUGGGGAAUUUUGGACAAUGGGCGGAAGCCUGAUCCAGCCAUGCCGCGUGAGUGAAGAAGGCCUUCGGGUUGUAAAGCUCUUUCGGCGGGGAAGAAAUUGCACGGGUUAAUACCCUGUGUAGAUGACGGUACCCGAAUAAGAAGCACCGGCUAACUACGUGCCAGCAGCCGCGGUAAUACGUAGGGUGCGAGCGUUAAUCGGAAUUACUGGGCGUAAAGCGUGCGCAGGCGGUUUGGUAAGUCAGAUGUGAAAUCCCCGGGGCUCAACCUGGGAACUGCAUUUGAGACUGCCAGGCUGGAGUUUGGCAGAGGGGGGUGGAAUUCCACGUGUAGCAGUGAAAUGCGUAGAGAUGUGGAGGAACACCGAUGGCGAAGGCAGCCCCCUGGGCCAAUACUGACGCUCAUGCACGAAAGCGUGGGGAGCAA